rnacentral:rRNA from 1 species
UACGUAUGGUGCAAGCGUCAUCCGGAUUUACUGGGUGUAAAGGGAGCGCAGGCGGCACGGCAAGCCUGAUGUGAAAGCCCGCGGCCCAACCGCGGGACUGCAUUGGGAACUACCGGGCUGGAGUGCCGGAGAGGUAGGCGGAAUUCCUAGUGUAGCGGUGAAAUGCGUAGAUAUUAGGAUGAACACCAGUGGCGAAGGCGGCCUACUGGACGGUGACUGACGCUGAGGCUCGAAAGCGUGGGGAGCAAACAGG